GCCAGCCUCGGGCCGGCAGACUAGGUAAUACGAAGGUGGGAAGCGUUAUUGGUAAUUACGAGGCGGAAAGGGCAGUUAGGUGGUGUGGUAAGUCUAUUGUGAAAGCUGCCGUCUUAACUGGGAGAGGCCAAUGUAUACUACCAGGCUUGAGUAUAGGAGAGGUUACUGGAAUUCCCGGUGUAGCGAUGAAAUGCGCAGAUAUCGGGAGGAACACCAAUGGCGAAAGCAGGUAACUGGACUAUUACUGACACUCAACUGCGAAAGCUAGGGGAGCAAACAGGAUUAGAUACCCGAGUAGUC
rnacentral:rRNA from 1 species